UUUAAAAAGAGCAGGGCAUAAUCUGGGGCCCAAUCUGGGUCACGGGGUUGCUGAUGCUAAUCCCAGUUGACAAUCCCAGAUGAAAGUCACAGAGUUAAUCCCACUUGACAGCCUGGACCCUGCUCACAUCAUCACCGUUCAAGUGACCUCUGCAUGUUUGUGGACUGUGGGAGGAAGACCAUAAUAAAGACCAUAAUAAUCCCCAGACGUGGACCACAAAUGUCCCCGAGUCGUCUCUGUCAUCCUCAUCUUCAUCUUCAUCAUCAUACACACUGGGGUUUAUUUAACGACAUCUGCUGCAGGUCAGGGGUUAAAUGAACACAGGUGACAGUAAUGAACACGAGUCAUGUGAUCAAACUGUGUCAGUGGAACAAUGACAGGAACAAGUGUAACAAGAGGAUGUAAACUUCAAAAUAAAACAGGAAAUAGUAAAA